ensembl:snoRNA small nucleolar RNA, C/D box 4A
GCUGCGCGUGAUGAAGCUUUAGCGACCAAAGUCUGAAUGGCUGUGAUUGUAGCCACUAGGAGCUGAUGCACC